AUGCCCACAGACGGACUCUGCAGCUUCGUGGCUGCUGCAACACUGCCAAACAGAGGGAGACCGGGACGUGAGAAAGCGGAGUGGAAACAGAUAGCGCUUCCCGAGAUGUAUCGAAAUUCAUCACGUGUGGACCAACGUUGUCAUCAUGGAGUAAACAUCUCCUCUCCGCUGUCUUCACAGAGGACUCCUUAGGGGAGGGGGCCUGAGGUCGGGUCUACUUCAGCAGCAGGUGUGUAAAUGUGAAAUAAAGAACUGAAUUUUCUUCCUAUUUCAGAAUACAAUAUGAGUACAGGUGGAACACCAUGACAUUUCUCAAGUUGAUUCGGUCACGUGUCGCCCAACAGGGGAAUGUUCUGAGAAAUGCGUCUCCUGGUGACUCUCACUGUCAGAGCUCCCCGGGGGCACCUAUCCAACCCAGACCCGCGGCUUCAGGGCAGAGCUGAGUGGUGCUGUGAACACAGUGCAGGGGCUGCUGCUGGAUCACGCAGCGCACUGCAUACAGUGAACUCCGGUGUGUGGGUAGGAGUAGACUCUAAAUGACUAAGAGUACAGGAGAGUAAAUGCGCAAGCCAGAAAUAUGGUUAUCAUCUUAUCCCGCAUUCUGUACUGUACACAACGGUGUGUUUGUGUGUAUGACUGGCUGUGAGGUGGGUAGCCGCCUGC
rnacentral:lncRNA from 1 species